rnacentral:rRNA from 1 species
GGAUCCAGACUUUGAUUCUGGCUCAGGAUGAACGCUGGCGGCGUGCUUAACACAUGCAAGUCCAACGAAGCACUUUAUUUGAUUUCCUUCGGGACUGAUUAUUUUGUGACUGAGUGGCGGACGGGUGAGUAACGCGUGGGCAACCUGCCUUGUACAGGGGGAUAACAGUUGGAAACGGCUGCUAAUACCGCAUAAGCGCACAGCAUCGCAUGAUGCAGUGUGAAAAACUCCGGUGGUAUAAGAUGGACCCGCGUUGGAUUAGCUAGUUGGUGAGGUAACGGCCCACCAAGGCGACGAUCCAUAGCCGACCUGAGAGGGUGACCGGCCACAUUGGGACUGAGACACGGCCCAAACUCCUACGGGAGGCAGCAGUGGGGAAUAUUGCACAAUGGGCGAAAGCCUGAUGCAGCGACGCCGCGUGAGCGAAGAAGUAUUUCGGUAUGUAAAGCUCUAUCAGCAGGGAAGAUAAUGACGGUACCUGACUAAGAAGCACCGGCUAAAUACGUGCCAGCAGCCGCGGUAAUACGUAUGGUGCAAGCGUUAUCCGGAUUUACUGGGUGUAAAGGGAGCGCAGGCGGUGCGGCAAGUCUGAUGUGAAAGCCCGGGGCUCAACCCCGGUACUGCAUUGGAAACUGUCGUACUAGAGUGUCGGAGGGGUAAGCGGAAUUCCUAGUGUAGCGGUGAAAUGCGU